AGGUCUGACUCCUCCACUUUGUGCUGUGCUCCCCGCAGGGACCCCCUCCCGCGACGUCCUCCUGGUCUCAGCCAUCAUCACCGUCAGCCUUAGCGUCACCAUCGUCCUCUGCGGGAUCUGCCAGUGGUGCCAGCGGAAAAUGGGAAAGCGUUACAAGACUUCCCUGGAGACUGUGGGAACUCCAGAUUCCAGCCGAGGCCGUAGCGAAAAGAAAACCAUCAACGAUCUAGACAGAGACUUUUGGAAUAACAAUGACAACACAGUGCAGCAGAAAUGGAGCUCCUACCCUCCCAAGGAGUUUAUCCUAAACAUUUCUCCUUACGCUCCGUACGGUGAUCCGCGCCUUUCCCUCAAGUGAGUUUCUCCUUACCGCGUAUGCUCCGUGUAGUGAGUAUAUGGGCAGCACCCACUCGCCUUCCUCCUCCUCUUCCUCCUCCUUUCCCUCCUCCUUCUCCUCCCCCUCCUGCUCCCGAGCUCCCCGCACGCCACCCCAUGGGCCGUCCCAUGGAGACGAGCAACCCCUCCUUCCCGCAUUCCCGGGGCCGGCCGGGAUCUCCCUCCAGGACGGGGUUGCGCGUUGGGGGCACCCCCUCGGCACG